GGGGGAUAUUGCACAAUGGAGGAAACUCUGAUACAGCAACGCCGCGUGAGGGAAGAAGGUCUUCGGAUUGUAAACCUUUGUCCUUGGUGACGAAACAAAUGACGGUAGCCAAGGAGGAAGCUCCGGCUAACUACGUGCCAGCAGCCGCGGUAAUACGUAGGGAGCAAGCGUUGUCCGGAUUUACUGGGUGUAAAGGGUGCGUAGGCGGCUCUGCAAGUCAGGCGUGAAAACUAUGGGCUUAACCCAUAGACUGCGUUUGAAACUGUGGGGCUUGAGUGGAGUAGAGGCAGACGGAAUUCCCGGUGUAGCGGUGAAAUGCGUAGAGAUCGGGAAGAACACCAGUGGCGAAGGCGGUCUGCUGGGCUCUAACUGACGCUGAGGCACGAAAGCAUGGGGAGCAAAC
rnacentral:rRNA from 1 species